rnacentral:tRNA from 1 species
ACCUGGCUGGCUCAGUUGGUAGAGAGUGUGACUCAGAAUCUCAGGGUUGAGAGUUCAAGCCCCAUGCUGGGCA